UUAGAUCUACAAGUUGCAAUUCCAUUUAUCACGUGUUUGCCAUGGAUUAGACAUUGUAAACCACGUGACAAGUGCAGAUAUAAGGAACACAGCAACUAAAGGAAGCCAGACAGAUACUAUUAAACGACGUACUAAGAUCGAGAAGAAACGUUCAAACAAAUUUCAACGAAAGCGUACCAAACCUUUUGAGGUACCACAAUGAAGAUCCUGACAUCUGCGUUAUUUCUUGUGUUUUUGCUUGUCGCAAUAGAUGCUCGACAUCAUAUUUUACACAACGAGGAUAGCUUGGAACGAGAAGGCCGACAAUUUGGAUUAUGUAGAUGCAUGAAUGGCCGCGAUACAGGAAAAUGUUUUUUCCAUUGCCCGUUUCAUCUACGUCCUUGUGGAAGUUGCAGCCGCCUUUUUGUUUGCUGUAGAUGAUGCUACAAUGUUUGCCUUGGUGUUUUACCUCUCUUGCUGAAGAAUAUAUGUAGUUUCUAGAUGUACUGAUAUUUUAAUUUCAAAUAAAGAAUAGCUCAUUCA